AUUGAACGCUGGCGGAAUGCUUUACACAUGCAAGUCGAACGGCAGCACGGACUUCGGUCUGGUGGCGAGUGGCGAACGGGUGAGUAAUGUAUCGGAACGUGCCCAGUCGUGGGGGAUAACGUAGUGAAAAUUACGCUAAUACCGCAUACGAUCUAUGGAUGAAAGCGGGGGAUCGCAAGACCUCGCGCGAUUGGAGCGGCCGAUAUCAGAUUAGGUAGUUGGUGGGGUAAAGGCCCACCAAGCCAACGACCUGUAGCUGGUCUGAGAGGACGACCAGCCAGACUGGAACUGAGACACGGUCCAGACUCCUACGGGAGGCAGCAGUUGGGAAUUUUGGACAAUGGGCGAAAGCCUGAUCCAUCCAUUCCGCGUGCAGGAUGAAGGCCCUCGGGUUGUAAACUGCUUUUGUACAGAACGAAAAGGUUUCUACUAAUACUAGGAGCUCAUGACGGUACUGUAAGAAUAAGCACCGGCUAACUACGUGCCAGCCGCCGCCGCAG
rnacentral:rRNA from 1 species